rnacentral:tRNA from 2 species
GGCCGGCUAGCUCAGUUGGUUAGAGCGUGGUGCUAAUAACGCCAAGGUCGCCGGUUCGACCCCGGCGUUGGCCA